GAUCCUGGCUCAGGAUGAACGCUGGCGGCGUGCUUAACACAUGCAAGUCGAACGGUGAACACGGAGCUUGCUCUGUGGGAUCAGUGGCGAACGGGUGAGUAACACGUGAGCAACCUGCCCCUGACUCUGGGAUAAGCGCUGGAAACGGCGUCUAAUACUGGAUAUGUGACGUGACCGCAUGGUCUGCGUCUGGAAAGAAUUUCGGUUGGGGAUGGGCUCGCGGCCUAUCAGCUUGUUGGUGAGGUAAUGGCUCACCAAGGCGUCGACGGGUAGCCGGCCUGAGAGGGUGACCGGCCACACUGGGACUGAGACACGGCCCAGACUCCUACGGGAGGCAGCAGUGGGGAAUAUUGCACAAUGGGCGCAAGCCUGAUGCAGCAACGCCGCGUGAGGGACGACGGCCUUCGGGUUGUAAACCUCUUUUAGCAGGGAAGAAGCGAAAGUGACGGUACCUGC
rnacentral:rRNA from 1 species